ensembl:lincRNA
GGAGGAAUAAGUACCAUGAAGAAAAAUUAAGCAGGGAAAAUUGCUAAAGGAAAACAGAUGAGGCUUGGGUGGGGAAGCGUCUUCUUUUAGAGAGAGGUCAGGGAAGCCCCUCUAGAGAGGUAAUAUCGAAGCAGAAAUCUGAAUGGCAUGAGGCAUCCACUCAAAGAUCUGGGGAAAGAACAUUCCAGACAGAGGAAAGGGCGUGAGCUUGGUAUGUUUAAGACCAGCAUCCAAGCCAGUGUACCUAGAGUCAGGGACCUGGGCUUCGGGUGGAGGAGACCCAGACAGGUGGGUGGUGGCAGCCGGACUCUCAGUGCCAGAGGAAAUCAUCGACCUGAUCUGAGCAGCGAAUGAUGUGAUCUAUUUCUCAGUGUUUUUACCCUUUGUGUAAACACUCAAGGGCAGCAGGCUGUUGGUUAAAAUACUGAGUCUUAAUGCAGCUUACAUAAUGCAGAUAGCUGUUAGUUUAACAGCUACCCUGUGCUCACCAACGCCCUGGCAGCCCUCAGCCCUGCCACUUGCCUGCUGGUCGGCCAAGGGCUCUAUUUCCCCAGACUCUGAUAGAAGCAGGAGCAAGGGACAUGGCACCAGGCACCAUCCAGAUGAUUUUCCAGCUGCCGCUGGACCCGGGCGUGGAUACGGCCAGAAAUCAAGAGGAUGCCGGAGGGAAGAGAUUCUCCUAUGCACGACUUGGGAGGAACCCAUGUGGCUGCUGUCUAAGGCUGAUGCCUCACAGGGACUCAUGUGUCUCCUGCAUGAAUGGGCGAAGAAGAGGACAGAAGUAACUUCAAAAAAUGGCUAUUGUCUGGAAGAUCUGCGUGAUACUCCGGAAAGGAAUGGAGAAAACUUGAGUUUGAAGGCAGUAGUGUGGCUUCCAUGGAUAAGAAGCAGAGAUAAGAUGCAACUUUUCAGAGCCAACUCAAGGCCUCUUUCUGGUUCUGGCUCUUGGACAUGGUUUUGUCUGAGAACUAUAGCUUGUGGGCCUCCUGUUUUUGUAUGACUGAUGAGCUAAGAAUAGCUUUUACAUUUUAAAUGGUUGGAAAAAAAUAAAAAGAAGAAUAUUUUGGGAGAUGUGAAAAUUACAUGAAAUCACAUUUCAGUGUCUAUAAAUAAAGUUUUAUUGGAAUACAGGCAUCCCUUCUUUUAUACGGUGUCUUCUGAGCCAUAAUGGCAAGCUUGGGUGGUUGUAAAUUGCUCCUCCCAAUGUAUUGUUUGGCCCUCCCCAGGAAAUAUUUGCUGACCCAUAGUCUAGAAUAUUGCAAAAUAUAUCUAUCCCUGAGUUCGGACUCAAGUAUAAAUCCUUCCACAUCUACAGAGAAGCAAUCUAGAAAUACCCCUUCUAGGGCCAUGUGUUACCAUUUCUAGUUUGAAAACAAUCUACAAAAACCAAAAUUAUUUCAAAAAAUAAUCCAACACAGCAACUUUUCCAUUCUGCAAAUCUCCAGAAACCUCCCUAAACAAAGAUGAGCCACCAACCCCUGUCCUACUCAGCCUUGAUGGAAACCCCUCCCAGCUGCCAGGCCACCAUGCUACAUAUCACAAACAUGAUUCCAUUGAGUAUUUC